CCUACGGGUGGCAGCAGUGAGGAAUAUUGGUCAAUGGGCGCGCGCCUGAACCAGCCAAGUCGCGUGAAGGAUGACUGCCCUACGGGUUGUAAACUUCUUUUAUAAAGGAAUAAAGUGAGGCACGUGUGCCUUUUUGUAUGUACUUUAUGAAUAAGGAUCGGCUAAAUCCGUGCCAGCAGCCGCGGUAAUACGGAGGAUGCGAGCGUUAUCCGGAUUUAUUGGGUUUAAAGGGAGCGUAGGUGGGUUGUUAAGUUAGUUGUGAAAGUCUGGGGCUCAACCGUGGAAUUGCAGUUGAUACUGGCAGCCUUGAGUGCAGGUGAGGUAGGCGGAAUGCGUGGUGUAGCGGUGAAAUGCUUAGAUAUCACGAAGAACUCCGAUUGCGAAGGCAGCCUACUAAACUGCCACUGACGUUGAUGCUCGAAAGUGUGGGUAUCAAACAGGAUUAGAUACCCUUGUAGUC
rnacentral:rRNA from 1 species